GUCCGUCUGUCUAGCUGUUCUUACGAGAGGUACAUUGUGGGGUAAAAUUAACGUAUUUUCCAGCAGUGUGGGGUUUUUUGGGUACUGUGGGGUUAACCCCAUAAUGAAGAGGUCUAAUUACGUUCAAAAUUACUCUAUGAGGUCGAAAAACCUAAAAUUAGAUUUAACCUCACAAAGACUUUGUCCAAAUUUUGGACAUGUCCUUAGCCCAAAAUGCUCAGACAUUCAGAAAUCUGCUGUUUAGAGGAGUUCGGUAAUUGAAUCGAGGAGUUCCGAAUACCUGAGCAUGCGCAUAUAUUUAAAACUAACUGCGCAUGCGCAGAAUACGGAAGUAGCUGUGUUUGGACAUUUUGUAUUAGCAGUGAGGAAAUUCGGAAACACAAAAAGCAAAUGCAAGUUCAGAUACUGAAAGUGAACAUCAGUGGAACUUUGAUGAUCUAGGCCGCUCUAUUUUUGCAGCAACACCAGCAUGCGUCGGACAUUCAUAAAGUUGAAAGAACAAACCUAUGACUUGAACACACAAUUUGUGAUCUGAAUAUAGUUCACAAAUUUAAGGAAAGCAACUAUCAAAGACAUCCAGAUUGAUGGUAUACAUGAAGUAUGAAUGAAAGACUUUUCAGAAGAACAAGCACAAUCCCGAUUCAUUCUUGCCAUUGUCUUCUCCAGACGGUGACAUUUAGGACCUGACUUACUUUUCAGAAAAAGAAGAUGAAUCGAUUUUUGAUAGUUGAUCUUAA